rnacentral:rRNA from 1 species
CACGGGUAACGGAGAAUUAGGGUUCGAUUCCGGAGAGGGAGCCUGAGAAACGGCUACCACAUCUACGGAAGGCAGCAGGCGCGUAAAUUACCCAAUCCUGAUUCAGGGAGGUAGUGACAAGAAAUAACAACUCGGGGCCUCACGGCUUACGAGAUUGCAAUGAGAACAAUUUAAAUCUCUUAGCGAGGAACAAUUGGAGGGCAAGUCUGGUGCCAGCAGCCGCGGUAAUUCCAGCUCCAAUAGCGUAUAUUAAAGUUGUUGCAGUUAAAAAGCUCGUAGUUGAAUUUCUGAUUAUGGAUGUAGCGGUUUCCGUUACAUUUGUAGUCAUCCACAUGAGAACCUUUCUCGGCCUUCACUGGUCGGUUGGGGGAUCAUGUACUUUACUUUGAAAAAAUCAGAGUGUUUCAGGCAGGCGUUUGCAUGAAUACACAAGCAUGG